GAUGAAGAACGCAGCGAAAUGCGAUACGUAAUGUGAAUUGCAGAAUUCAGUGAAUCAUCGAGUCUUUGAACGCACAUUGCGCCCCUUGGUAUUCCAUGGGGCAUGCCUGUUCGAGCGUCAUUUGUACCUUCAAGCUCUGCUUGGUGUUGGGUGUUUGUCUCGCCUCUGCGUGUAGACUCGCCUCAAAACAAUUGGCAGCCGGCGUAUUGAUUUCGGAGCGCAGUACAUCUCGCGCUUUGCACUCAUAACGACGACGUCCAAAAGUACAUUUUUACACUCUUGACCUCGGAUCAGGUAGGGAUACCCGCUGAACUUAAGCAUAUCAAUAAGCGGAGGA
rnacentral:misc_RNA from 1 species